UGGCGGACGGGUGAGUAACGCGUGGGUAACCUGCCUCACACUGGGGGACAACAGUUAGAAAUGACUGCUAAUACCGCAUAAGCGCACAGGACCGCAUGGUCCGGUGUGAAAAACUCCGGUGGUGUGAGAUGGACCCGCGUUUGAUUAGCUAGUUGGUGGGGUAACGGCCUACCAAGGCGACGAUCAAUAGCCGACCUGAGAGGGUGAUCGGCCACAUUGGAACUGAGACACGGUCCAA
rnacentral:rRNA from 1 species